GACGAACGCUGGCGGCGUGCCUAAUACAUGCAAGUAGAACGCACAGUUUAUACCGUAGCUUGCUACACCAUAGACUGUGAGUUGCGAACGGGUGAGUAACGCGUAGGUAACCUGCCUGGUAGCGGGGGAUAACUAUUGGAAACGAUAGCUAAUACCGCAUAAUAUUGAUUAUUGCAUGAUAAUUGAUUGAAAGAUGCUAUUGCAUCACUACCAGAUGGACCUGCGUUGUAUUAGCUAGUAGGUGAGGUAACGGCUCACCUAGGCGACGAUACAUAGCCGACCUGAGAGGGUGAUCGGCCACACUGGGACUGAGACACGGCCCAGACUACUACGGGAGGCAGCAGUAGGGAAUCUUCGGCAAUGGACGAAAGUCUGAACGAGCAACGCCGCGUGAGUGAAGAAGGUUUUCGGAUCGUAAAGCUCUGUUGUAAGAGAAGAACGGGUGUGAGAGUGGAAAGUUCACACUGUGACGGUAUCUUACCAGAAAGGGACGGCUAACUACGUG
rnacentral:rRNA from 1 species